rnacentral:rRNA from 1 species
GUAGGUGGCAAGCGUUGUCCGGAAUUAUUGGGCGUAAAGCGCGCGCAGGCGGUUCUUUAAGUCUGAUGUGAAAGCCCACGGCUCAACCGUGGAGGGUCAUUGGAAACUGGAGAACUUGAGUACAGAAGAGGAAAGCGGAAUUCCACGUGUAGCGGUGAAAUGCGUAGAGAUGUGGAGGAACACCAGUGGCGAAGGCGGCUUUCUGGUCUGUAACUGACGCUGAGGCGCGAAAGCGUGGGGAGCAAACAGGAUUAGAUACCCUGGUAGUCCACGCCGUAAACGAUGAGUGCUAAGUGUUAGGGGGGUUUUCGCCCCCCUUAGUGCUGCAGCUAACGCAUUAAGCACUCCGCCUGGGAGUACGGCCGCAAGGCUG